rnacentral:lncRNA from 1 species
ACUUUUCGCAUAUCGACAAUAUGGAACCUUUUAAAACUGAAUCUCCUUCUGUAAAGUUGAGAAAACGCAUAUGUGACAGCAAUUGAGAGUUGGCAAUUUAAAAGUGUAAACAGAGUAAGAGUGAUCACAGAAGAUCGCCAUCCACAUGCACGAGCGAUACUUUUUGAAAACAAUAACUAUGCGAAAUGUGAUGACUCGUAAACAUGGAACCAAAAUCUCUAAUUCAUUGUCUAGACUCACUGGAAAGUCUAGACAAUAAAUAUGUCAAAUCAACAAUUCAAAGCUCCGUUUGGAUUUACUUCAAGAACAGUGCAGGCUGACUGAACUACGUUUUCUAAUUUCAUAAUUCGAUAUAGUCGAUAUUUUUGUUCAAUAUCGAUAUAUUGCUUUUUCCUUAUCACUUCAACCUAAUAUUACGCAAAAUAUUUUCAAUUUAUCUUGAAUUGUUAGUGGGGCAGCACAUUGUCAUGCAUACUCAUAUGAUCUUCAAGUUCAGUGGCAAUUUCAAACUCGGCAUUGCAGACACAACAGAUAUAACCAAUACCAGUUGCUUCUUUUGCUUCGAAUUCCUUACAGACAUCACAUUGGUAGGAUAUACCAUGGUCUUUGGCCUUGUGCUGAUAUAAACUUUCAAUAUCAGGGAACUGUUUCUCGCAUUUGUCACAGACAAGAUAAUCGCCACUCAGUAUCUCACCAACAUGUCCUUGUUCUUGAAUAAUUUCCCUGCCACAACUGUUGCAGAAUAAUAAGCCAUCUCUUGAAUGUACUCUCCAGUGACGUUUGAGACUUUUAUGUUGUGUGAAUGUUUUCUUACAUUUAGCACACUCAAAACACUGCUUUACGUUGUGUGCUGAUAUUUUAUGUCGGGUUAAAUUGUGUGAUUCUGAAAAUCCCUUGUUGGAAAUGUCACAUUCAAAAGGUGUGUCUCCAGUAUGUGUUUUUUUAUGAGUAGCUAAGUGGCUUGAUUGUGAAAAUCUCUUCGUACAAAUAUUGCAUCCAUAAGUUUUUCCUCCAGUAUGUGUUCUUUUAUGCUUGGUUAAGUUGCCCGCGCAUGAAAAGCUUUUGUUGCAAACAUUACAUUCAUAAGGUUUGUGUCCAGUGUGUGUUCUUUUAUGUUUAGCAAAACUACUUGCAUCAGAAAAUCUUUUGUUGCAAACAUCACAUUCAUAAGGCUUGUCUCCAGUAUGGGUUCGUUUGUGCAUAGUUAAGUUACCCAAGCAUGAAAAUUUCUUCUCACAAGUAUCACAUUCAUGAGGUUUCUGUCCAGUGUGUGUUCUUUCAUGUCUAACUAAGGUGUGUGAGUGUGAAAAUCUUUUGUUGCAAACAUCACAUUCAUAAGGUUUGUCUCCAGUGUGAGUUCUCAUAUGAAUGGUUACAGUGCUUGAGCGCGAAAAUCUUUUGUUGCAAAGAUCGCAUUCAUAAGGUUUGUCUCCAGUGUGUGUUCUCUUAUGAUCGGUUAAAGUUUUUGAGUGCGAAAAUCUUUUGUUACAAACAUCGCAUUCAUAAGGUUUGUCUCCAGUGUGUGUUCUCUUAUGUACAGUAAAGUGACCUGACUGCGAAAAUCUUUUGUUGCAAACAUCACAUUCAUAAGGUUUGUGUCCAGUGUGUGUUCUUUUAUGUUUAGCAAAACUACUUGCAUCAGAAAAUCUUUUGUUGCAAACAUCACAUUCAUAAGGCUUGUCUCCAGUAUGGGUUCGUUUGUGCAUAGUUAAGUUACCCAAGCAUGAAAAUUUCUUCUCACAAGUAUCACAUUCAUGAGGUUUCUGUCCAGUGUGUGUUCUUUCAUGUCUAACUAAGGUGUGUGAGUGUGAAAAUCUUUUGUUGCAAACAUCACAUUCAUAAGGUUUGUCUCCAGUGUGAGUUCUCGUAUGAAUGGUUAAAGUGCUUGAGCGCGAAAAUCUUUUGUUGCAAAGAUCGCAUUCAUAAGGUUUGUCUCCAGUGUGUGUUCUCUUAUGAUCGGUUAAAGUUUUUGAGUGCGAAAAUCUUUUGUUACAAACAUCGCAUUCAUAAGGUUUGUCUCCAGUGUGUGUUCUCUUAUGUACAGUAAAGUGACCUGACUGCGAAAAUCUUUUGUUGCAAACAUCACAUUCAUAAGGUUUGUCUCCAGUGUGUGUUCUCUUAUGAAUGGUUAAAGUGCUUGAGUGCGAAAAUCUUUUGUUGCAAACAUCACAUUUAUAAGGUUUGUCUCCAGUGUGUGUUCUUUUAUGUCUUAGCAAAUAGCUUCUCUGGGAAAAUAUCUUGUUGCACAAGUCGCAUUUGCUAGACAUGGUUUCAGCUUUUGAUCUUUUCCCCGGACGGUCAAAUUACGAUAAAAAAUAUCACCCAACUGUUCCCUCGAGUCUUUCUUUAUUGAAUCUUUAUAAUACUUCGGUUCUUACAGAAUUUCUGAUCAUAAAAAUGAGAAUAUUCAGAAAUACAGGUUGCAAACAACACGAGUAUCAAAAUUAAAUAUGG